AUUGAACGCUGGCGGCAGGCCUAACACAUGCAAGUCGAGCGGCAGCGGGAAGUAGCUUGCUACUUUGCCGGCGAGCGGCGGACGGGUGAGUAAUGUCUGGGAAACUGCCUGAUGGAGGGGGAUAACUACUGGAAACGGUAGCUAAUACCGCAUAACGUCGCAAGACCAAAGAGGGGGACCUUCGGGCCUCUUGCCAUCAGAUGUGCCCAGAUGGGAUAAGCUAGUAGGUUGGGUAACGGCUCACCUAGGCGACGAUCCCUAGCUGGUCUGUGAGGAUGACCAGCCACACGGGAACUGCGAGACGGUCCAGACUCCUACGGGAGGCAGCAGUGGGGAAGAUUGCACAAUGGGCGAAAGCCUGAUGCAGCCAUGCCGCGUGUAUGAAGAAGGCCUUCGGGUUGUAAAGUACUUUCAGCGGGGAGGAAGGCGUUGUGGUUAAUAACCACAGCGAUUGACGUUACCCGCAGAAGAAGCACCGGCUAACUCCGUGCCAGCCGCCGCCGUAAAAC
rnacentral:rRNA from 1 species